rnacentral:ncRNA from 1 species
AUAAGAACUAUGAAGAGGAUAGUAACUUUUAUUGGUCGUUCUAGCGAGUUAGGGAUGGUGUGAGCCUAAUACAGAUAUAAAAGUGAAUAACACCUUGGAGUUUCUUACCGAAAUUAGAUAUCUAAGAGUAGGAUAAGACGGUUUCCUACCGUUAAAAAGGUUCCUAAAGUGGUCACUUUUUGACAACUAGGGUGGUACCGCGGAUUUUACAGCCAUUCGUCCCUAUC